rnacentral:sRNA from 1 species
CAUUGCUCCUCUUCAUUGCAAGCCUUUUCACAGAAACAUUCCCCGUGUGGGGUGAUGUACUCCCUCGGCAAUGGAUACUACUCGUGAUAAGUGGAGCUUGCGCUUGUAUCGUGAACCUCUCUCUCUUUUUCAUUAUUGACCAUGCAGGCCCCGUCAGCAGUACUGUCACUGGACAUCUAAAAACUUGCAUCAUCGUUGGACUUGGCUGGGCUAUAAGCGAGAAGAUCGUGGGUUUUGAAAGCAAAUUUGGCAUCCUUCUCUCGAUAUUGGGCAUCAUAUUAUACUCGUUUGCAAUACAUAACAAGAGCGCGAAAGGCUCUCAGCCGGAAAAGAGCAGAGAGGAUGAAGAUAUGAAGUAGAUUCUCAAAGUCAGAUGGGAGCCUUAUGUAUAUGAUAUAUGUUACACUUAGAGAUAGUAAAUGUUAAUAUUUAGCCGCU